rnacentral:rRNA from 1 species
UGGGGAUUAUUGCACAAUGGGCGCAAGCCUGAUACAGCAACGCCGCGUGCGGGAUGACGGCCUUCGGGUUGUAAACCGCUUUCAUCCAUGACGAAGCGAGAGUGACGGUAGUGGAAGAAGAAGCACCGGCUAACUACGUGCCAGCAGCCGCGGUGAUACGUAGGGUGCGAGCGUUGUCCGGAUUUAUUGGGCGUAAAGAGCUUGUAGGCGGUUUGUCGCGUCGGGAGUGAAAACUCAGGGCUUAACCCUGAGCCUGCUUCCGAUACGGGCAGACUUGAGGAAGGUAGGGGAGAUUGGAAUUCCUGGUGAAGCGGUGGAAUGCGUAGAUAUCAGGAGGAACACCAGUGGCGAAGGCGGAUCUCUGGACCUUUCCUGACGCUGAGAAGCGAAAGCGUGGGGAGCAAACA